rnacentral:rRNA from 1 species
GACUCUCGGCAACAGAUAUCUCGGCUCUCGCAUCGAUGAAGAACGUAUCGAAAUGCAAUACUUGGUGUGAAUUACAGAAUCCCGUGAACAAGAGCGGCCGGUCUUGUCAUCCCUUUUUCCCAUUGGGUGGGGUGAGAUGUUAGGAUCAACUUCU